GAAAAGGCGGGUGGGCCUACCCUGAGCGCAUGCGUGGCGUACACACGUGCCCGCUCUCCCCGAGCGAACUGUGGCCUUGCGGUUUGAACUUCAGCGAAACGGAAAGGCUCUGUGUUCAAGAUGGGACCGCCCCCUCUGCUCGCCUCUGUACUUCCACCCUCUCUGGAUAGAGGACAGAACUGUCACCACCAGAGGAAAUGACUCAGACGCAUUCAAUAGCCUCAUGGGAUAGAGCACACACAGUAAAUGGAGCUGUGAGGCCGACUGUGCUACUGCCUGAGCUGUUCACCAACCUUAUCCAACUGGAGAGCAACCACUUUCAGGUCACCUCUCCACGGAGCCUCUGCUGACUUUUACAAGCAGCCUGCUUCCUGACCUUUAAAGGCCCAGAGACCUUUCAUUUGACAUGGUGAAUAUACAAACCAUGGACUAUCUAAAAAUGUUCCUCAGCCGAAACCGGUUUGGCUCAGUGGAUAGAGCGUCGGCCUGCGGACUGAGAGGUCCCAGGUUCCAUUCCGGUCAGGGGCAUGUGCCUGGGUUGCGGGCAUAUCCCCAGUGGGAGAUGUGCAG